AUUGAACGCUGGCGGCAUGCCUUACACAUGCAAGUCGAAUGGCAGCACGGGAGCAAUCCUGGUGGCGAGUGGCGAACGGGUGAGUAAUAUAUCGGAACGUGCCCGGUCGUGGGGAUAACGUAGCGAAAGCUACGCUAAUACCGCAUACGAUCUACGGAUGAAAGCGGGGGAUCGCAAGACCUCGCGCGAUUGGAGCGGCCGAUAUCAGAUUAGGUAGUUGGUGAGGUAAAGGCUCACCAAGCCGACGAUCUGUAGCUGGUCUGAGAGGACGACCAGCCACACUGGGACUGAGACACGGCCCAGACUCCUACGGGAGGCAGCAGUGGGGAAUUUUGGACAAUGGGCGCAAGCCUGAUCCAGCAAUGCCGCGUGCAGGAUGAA
rnacentral:rRNA from 1 species